rnacentral:rRNA from 1 species
UGGGGAAUCUUGCACAAUGGGCGAAAGCCUGAUGCAGCGACGCCGCGUGGGGGAUGAAGCUUCUCGGAGUGUAAACCCCUUUCGACCCGGACGAAUGCCUCGCAAGAGGACUGACGGUACGGGUAUAAGAAGCCCCGGCUAACUACGUGCCAGCAGCCGCGGUAAGACGUAGGGGGCCAGCGUUGCUCGGAAUUACUGGGUGUAAAGGGUUCGUAGGCGGUGUGGCAAGUCGGGAGUGAAAUCUCUGGGCUCAACCCAGAGGCUGCUUCCGAAACUGCCGUGCUUGAGUGUGGGAGAGGCGCGUGGAAUUGCAGGUGUAGCGGUGAAAUGCGUAGAUAUCUGCAGGAACACCCGUGGCGAAAGCGGCGCGCUGGACCACAACUGACGCUGAGGAACGAAAGCUAGGGGAGCAAACAG